AGUCCGGGUCCGGAGAAAGGCUCUGUUUAAAACGGCCGAGGGUCGGCGGCGGUUUUGUUACUUCGGGAUCGGGAAUGAUCACUCGGAUCCUUGCGCCGUGCGUGUGCUGUGGCUGUACGGGGGGUUGGAGUUCUCGGUGGAAUUAUUCUUCAGGCAGUGCCACGGGCUCCUGCGGUCUUGGAAGGUCUAUGAUAGGCUGCUGGAUGGCCAGCUGGGGUCCUCGCCUGCAUUGUUUUUCAGGCAGCCCCACAGACAGCAGGGCUGGAGGAGGUGCCGGGAGGGCGCGCUAUGGUCGCGCCAGGGCCUGGGCGGGGGGCGGCGGCGAUGAUGGGGGCGGGGCUCAGAGGUGGCGGCAGGGGCCGGCUGGCUGCCCGGCUGCCCGCCCCUAAUGGGCAAAGAGGCGAUUCGUAGGGAGAAGGCUUGGGGGAAGACGGGUGGGGGCUGCGCCCUGGGGGCGCUCAAUGGCGGGCAGCCCCUUCACAGGCUCUCCUGCCCCUAGGAGAAGCUGGCACUUUCUACAUGGACUGGCUCAGGCAAAAGCAUUUGAGGAGUCCUAGAGCUAUGACUUCUUCACCCAGGAUUCUGCCCAGAUUGAAACAUCUUAUCUGGAAAACUAAUGGAAGAUAAUACAUGUUUAAAGUAUCUUCAUUUCCACCACUUUGCUUCUGUACCUAAACUUACCACCUGCUUUGUCUAGUCAAACUUUAAAGAUCUUAUUUCCAUCUCUUCACAACUUUGGGAGGGUGUUGCAUAUGUCAUUUUAUUGCUGUUGGCUUCAUGAAUCUGCAUAUGGUUCAGUGCUCGGAGCUUUUUUCAAACAGCAGCCAUCUGGAAUAAGAGCAGAACUUUUGUAGUUUUUACUGUUGCUAUUCAGAAUCCUAUCCCAUAUGUAGUAGUGGAACUGACAAGAACUAUAUCACUUUAACCCUGCUACUUGGAAAAAUCCUGAGAGGCAGCAAAAGAAACUACUUGAGAGGGAAAUUCAGAGUAUGAAGGAAGGUGGAGGAUAGACUAGUAGAAUAACUUUAAGGUUAGGGGCUGGUAGACAGAAUGCUCCUUCUUUUGCAGGGGGAAUGUCUGGGGAGGGGGCUUCAAAGCUGUCAGACACGUACUAGCAAGAGGCUGACAUAAAAGAUGGAGCCCUUGAGUAGGUUAAAGGGACAACACCAUGGUAGGAACAUGGUAACACAGUUUCCUUUUCCAGCAAGUUGGGAAGGGCAGUUGGCUUUUCACUAGAUCAUUUAAGUUGGGCAGUGAGCUUCCUCCUGUCCUUUUAUUUUGGACUCUGUCUAGUGAGUUUAAUCUUUUGACUAGCUGGUAAAUUUUUCAAACCCUGCUUUAAAACGUCAUCCCAUUGCUUAACAUCACUGACUCAGUAUUCACUGUAUUCUCACUUUUCUGAUGGGGAAACUGAGGCAGAAUGUCACGAAUUGUGAUAUCACACAGUGCUUGCUGGAACUUGUGUUGAUUUGUGACUGUUAAAACUGUACAAUGAUAUCUUGCCUUUGCACAAUAUAGAUAAUGCUACUGAAAUUUCAUUUUAAAGGAUACUGUUAGCUGGGGUGUUUAAAAAAACACUUUUUAAAAUUUCCAUUGUAUAUAGUUGCAUCUUAAAGGCUUGAAAAUACUACUUUCCCUGUCAUUUAGCAAAGGUUUUGGGGGUUUUUGUCCCAUUUCUCAAUUUAACUGUAUUUUGUUUUUAGUUCCAAACUACUAGCAGGCGGGGAGUGAAGGCACUUCUGAUUGUCAAUGAACAGUUAAGACUUCAAAUUUGUCUGUCCGACAAAACAUGGUUGUCCUGGUUUUCAAGCUUUGGUCUAUUUCUUUCGGGGUGCAGCAUGCACAGCUGUCAGAUACUUCCUGGAGCUGUGAGAGGGGAGGGGCGCAUGCCUACGGAGCAGCAGAGAUCAAAACAAUGAGCCGAGCGGUCGUGGCAGGCACUGAGGGAUACUUGUGGAAGCCAGUUAUGUCAAUAAAACAAACAGCAGUGUCUACACUGAUGCUUUGUUGCUUUAAUUUUGCCGCAAAAAGCUUUAUGCCUCUUGUUGAGGUGGUCUUAUUUUGUCUGUAAAACAGCAGAGUUUUGCUGCUAAAAGUAGCUUUGUAGUGUGUACACCUCCCCUGUUUUGUCGGCAAAAGCCAGCUUUUGCCAACAAAACUUUGUAGUGUACACAAGGCCUAACCUAAUGUGAUGGGGGAUACAGCCUAGUCUAUCUGCUCAUAUCUCUGUACUUCAAGGGCUCCUCCUGCCCCAGUUCCCCUAACUGGGCCACCUAGGUGCAAAAUGGAGUUGAGGCAGAAGUGUUGUGGGGAGCCUUUCAACUACUGAUGCUAAGCCAGAUUCCAGUCUGAUUCACAGGCCCCUCUUAUACAGAGAAACAUCGGUAGUCUCCACUUCUUUGCUGUGAAAGUCUCAGUCAGUUACCUUGCUGCCCAGUCUACCACUGAGCAUUGAUAGAAAAUCAAAAUUUAAAAAGUAGUGAUGUUUGUGUCCUUACUAUUAGGACAGUCAUAUUCCAGAGUUUCAUGUUUUGGUUUGCUUGCCAAAAUAUCAGCAUGUGAAUACAUAUGAACUGCCAGAAAGUUGAACUACAAGCUUAAAGAAAUUAUUUUAACCAAAAACCACAGUCAACGUUGUGUGGGAAAUGUUGGGACUAACUUUUGAGGUUCUUGGCUGUUCUGCUUCACUUAGUCCAUUGACAAUAGGAAAUGCCAUAUUAGAGACAAGCAUUGUCUAUGUGCCCCUACCACACCUUGCUUAAUUGACAUUAAACAGUUUUGCUGUGUGGACUUUUAUUUUAAUUAUUGCUAUGUGCUUUCCAAACUGAGGAGGAGCUGAACAGCCCCUACCCUGAAAAGCAUACACCCUAAAAACAUAAAAGCAGUGAGGGAUACAACAUAUGAGCAAAGUAUUCAUAUGAUAAGUCCACUGCUUAUUAAAAAUCCUGAACAAACUUUUAACUGAAAUUAAACAUGGUAGGUUCCUCCCACCCAUCACUCCAUGUAUGUCUGAGUUGCUCACUUUAGAUAAAUAUAUAGGAAUUAGUCAGCUAGGUUCUUGUAUGUGUCUCAGAAGAAGUAGAUCUUUAAGAGGGAUUUAAAGGAGAAGAGGGUUGCAGCACGGGUACAAAGAAUCUGUUAGGGGCCUGACGGCAAGUGAUGUUGAACAUGCUUUUUGUAAUGCUGUAAAUUACAUUUUGGACCUAUCUAUGCUAGUAGCCAAACAGUUUUCAGCACAUGGUAUUUCAGCACAUGGUGGGCUGGUCCUGUUAGUGGUCAUUACAGCAGUGAGUCACUUUCUCAUUAUUUAGAAGGACCCUUAGUGCAUGGAAGAUUUGACAGAGACCCAGAAAUUAUGCCUCACAUUUGUCAGCUUGAUAAAGUUUUGUGGACUGUGACAUUUUAUGAAGAAAUGGGAGAGCAUUACGACCCCUCCCUCUCAUAGAUUAACUUUAAAAUACCAACUGAUCCCUGGGUACAUUCUGUUCAAGCUGGUCUUCCCCCAUGUGACUCGGUAUUGAGCAAAACUACCUCCUAAAAUCAGUUUGUCCUUAACUGUCCAGUAUUGGAGCUAUAUGGUUCAUCCUUCAAAUCUUUACUCUUGACUACCCCUUCACAAAUGUACAUCGUAAGAAUAAGGGACUAUGACUUUCAAUAUAGGGAGCAAAGUUGACAAAGCCAAAAGGCUCAGCUUGUGACCAGCUACCACUAAAAUCAAUUACCUUGUCACUCUUGACGAUCGGAACUCUACUUAGCAAGUACACGGAGGAUAAGAGUAGCCAUGUUCAAAUUUGGGGAAUGAUAUCUAUGGUGUUCUCAGUGAAGGGGCCCUGGCUGUGAACUAACGUGCACCAGAAAUUAGGUUGAGCUUGUGUCCUGAGACAGCUGAGGCAUAUUGCUAGACUUGUUUUUUCUGCAGGCCCUGCUAUUAUUAAGGAGCCUUAGGCCUUGUCUACAUUACACAGUUUUGUCAACAAAAGUCAGCUUUCAUCGACAAAACAGUGGAGGUGUACACACUGCAAUGCUCCUUCUGGCAAGAAAACUCUUCUGCUUUGCCAACAAAAUAAAACCACUUCGCUGAGAAGCAUAGAGCUUUUUGCAGCAAAGUUAUAUCAACUAAGUGUCAGUGUAGACACCGCCUUUGGUUAUGUUGCUCUAAUUGGCCUCCAUGAGGUGUACCACAAUGCCCAUCGUGACAACUGGUCAGCAGUUCGAACUUUGCUGCACUGCACCUAGGUACAAAGGUAUCCACCCUUCCCCCUUUUAAGGCCCAAUACUUUUUGAAAUUCCACUUCCUGUUUGCUCCCUGUGGACAGCUGAAUGCAUCUUCCCAGCUGACCAUGGGGGCUCCAUGCAGCAAAUGCUCUCCCACUUGGAGCACACCUGAAUUGUUGGAUCUGCUGGCACUGUGGGGAGAGAUGCCUGUGCAGUCGCAGUCCCAGCUACGCUUUAGCUGUAGGAACUUCAAUACUUACGGUCAGAUUUCGUGUGGCUUGUUGGACAAGAGUUAUGAAUGGGACACAUAUCAGUGCUGUGGUUUUGUGAUGCUUUUCUUUUCAUACAAACCUUAAAUCGGGGGCCUAAGCUGCCUGACCAACUGAUCUAACUCUGCAUGGCUUUUCUAUAGUUAAGUGUGCAAAGAUUACAUUUUUAUUGGUAAAUGUCAAUUUCACCAUCCACACACAAAAAUGACAAAAUUGGUAAUUGAAAUGUAACAAAUAGGCAAUGUAAGAAAAAUGCUGCUUGCGAACUUACUAGAGUUUGAUUUAAGGAUAUCUACUUUGUAUAUUUUGGCAUGUGAUGUUGACAAUUUGUGUUUUAAUGGUUAUAAAGCUUUUACUUUUUGAAUCUCAAUGCCUACAAUCAUUAAAUAAUUACUAUCUGAUGCCUCCCCCGCCCCCAAUUUCCUGCAAUUUUGAACAUUUCAGUUAAUAAAAAAAGUCUUAAACAUUAAAAUGUC